GAUGAACGCUGGCGGCGUGCCUAAUACAUGCAAGUCGGGCGAACAGACGAGGAGCUUGCUCCUCUGACGUUAGCGGCGGACGGGUGAGUAACACGUGGAUAACCUACCUAUAAGACUGGGAUAACUUCGGGAAACCGGAGCUAAUACCGGAUAAUAUAUUGAACCGCAUGGUUCAAUAGUGAAAGACGGUUUUGCUGUCACUUAUAGAUGGAUCCGCGCCGCAUUAGCUAGUUGGUAAGGUAACGGCUUACCAAGGCAACGAUGCGUAGCCGACCUGAGAGGGUGAUCGGCCACACUGGAACUGAGAAACGGUCCAGACUCCUACGGGAGGCAGCAGUAGGGAAUCUUCCGCAAUGGGCGAAAGCUUGACGGAGCAACGCCGCGUGAGUGAUGAAGGUCUUCGGAUCGUAAAACUCUGUUAUUAGGGAAGAACAAAUGUGUAAGUAACUAUGCACGUCUUGACGGUACCUAAUCAGAAAGCCACGGCUAACUACGUG
rnacentral:rRNA from 1 species